rnacentral:lncRNA from 1 species
AUGGAUCAUCAGUGGGUGACUGUCUAGUCAAUAGACUUGGAGGAAGAAUGAUGGACUGAUGAGAUGGAAAUGAAACUGAAUUACAGAACUCUGCCUUCUAAAAGGUUGAAAUAGGUGAAACUUGAUGAAGACGGCAGAAGCACCGUCCUCUUCUGUACACUUCACAGUGCCUGCGGGAACAGCAAGAUGCUUGGAAGCACGGAAGAGGAGCAGUGGUUUUACAAGUCCUACAUUGUUACAACUUUCUUUGUACUUCCUCAAGACAAGAGAUAAGUUCAGAACCAGGAACAAGGUGCCUGCUGUGGGCUGUCAGAAUCCAUACUUCCUAGUACAUCACUGUUGAGCCUGUAUUCUCUUCUUUGCUUAUGUACAUUUUAUUACCCCUUCAAGGAAAAAAUAACUGCCUUAAAGAGUCAAACUAACCCCCCCUCACACUAUGCAAAGCCAUUCUUACCCACAUACACACAAUAGUGGGCCAAGCUUUAAAAAAAAAAAAAGCAAGCCUUAUAACAGUAAGUGUAAGGCAUAAUUACAGUACAUAUCCAAAACUUACACUCUAUGACUGGUAAUGUAUGCAAAAGUCACUGGUUAUUUAUCACACACAUAGACCCAGGAGGGUUGAAGAUGGUAAUUCUGGGUUCAAGAAUCACAAUUUACCAACAGCAGAAGAGGAUGGACUAUAAUACAGAUUGUAUACCAUGAACAAGCAAACAUAAAUAAAUUUUAAUGGAUAACUCCAUAUAUUCAUAGAACUUAAAUGUUAACAUUGAAGCCAACAAGAUGGCUUAAUGGGCAAAAGACUAUAUGAUGUACCCU